rnacentral:tRNA from 1 species
GGUAAAAUGGCUGAGUGGAAGCAUUAGACUGUAAAUCUAAAGACGGGGCGGGGAAAGCCCCUUUUGCCA